rnacentral:tRNA from 2 species
GUGGGCAUUGUAUAAUGGUUAUUACCUCAACCUUCCAAGUUGAUGAUGUGGGUUCAAUUCCCACUGUCCACU